GAUGAAGAACGUAGCGAAAUGCGAUAAGUAAUGUGAAUUGCAGAAUUCAGUGAAUCAUCGAAUCUUUGAACGCACCUUGCGCCCUUUGGCUAUUCCGAAGGGCAUGCCUGUUUGAGUAUCGUGAACACCUCAACUCUCAUGGUUUGCCAUGAUGAGCUUGGACUUUGGGGGUUUUGCUGGCCUUUGGUCGGCUCCUCUCAAACGGAUCAGCUUUCCAGUGUUUGGUGGCAUCACGGGUGUGAUAACUAUCUACGCCUGUGGUUUUCUGCCAGAUAACCUUCAGCGAUGGAGGUUCGCUGGGGCUCAUAAAUGUCUCUCUUCAGUGGAGACAGCUUUUUGGACGUUUGAUCUCAAAUCAGGUAGGACUACCCGCUGAACUUAAGCAUAUCAAUAAGCGGAGGA
rnacentral:misc_RNA from 1 species